rnacentral:pre_miRNA from 1 species
ACAACAUUAGGAUCGUCUGUCCACUGAGUAAAUUCACCCGCCCGGUGGAAGAACUUCUCUUUGUUAC